UACUCUUCUCUCUUUUUCCAUAGUAUAGUAUAGUAUAGUAAACAAGUAGUGUAUGAGUUUUGAGGGGUGGGUUUUUUCUUCAAGAAAUUAAUUGGAGUUUUGAUUUUAGGUGAAUGGAAUCUGUUCAAUACAUAAGGGUAAGGGAGGUGACAGAAGAGAGUGAGCACAAAUGGUGUUUUCUUGCAUGAAUUGUUCAUGCUUGAAGCUAUGUGUGCUCACUCUCUUGCUGUCACCCCACCCUCUCUCUCUCCCCCCCCCCCCCACACACACACACAUAAACUAUAUAUAUAUAUAUGCAUAUUUUUUUUCAACCUAUGUGAUUUUUUGUUGAGUUGGGCUUGUAAGGGUUGAUGCAGGAUGUUAAUUUUCUUGAUUAGGCAAAAUGGUUUUUGUUUUCUUUUUUUUUUUAUUGUUAUUUUGAAUGAAUUUUUUAACAACAGGGUUACUGACAGGCUAAUUAGGGCUUUUUUAUGUGUUGUGUUCAAAUCUUGAUUUAGGGUUUUGUGGAUUUGAGUUUUUCCACUUUUUUUGGGAAAAAGUCCUAAUUCAGUUUCAAGGAGAUGGUGUUAGCAACUCUACUGGUAUUGAUCUUUUUUAUGCACUUUUCCUUUAUAGAUAUAUAUCUUGAAUUUGUUAAUAUAUUUACAUCAAUCACAAUUGCUUGAUUGUGCCCAUUUCUCGCAGCAGAAAUUUUUGACUGAUUCGGUGAUGGGAGCUGGAAAAACUUGCAGCUGCAGAUUAAGAGAAGAGAUUCAAUUGAUACUCUUGAAUUCUUGAUUUUGUGAUCAAAUGCAAGAACUUCUUUUUAUCAUAUUUUAAUGGAUAUUGAAGAAUCUGAAGGGACAACCUUAUUUCAACACAAAAGGGUUCCUAGCUAGGUUAUUUAAUAUGAUCAAUCAAGUUUUUAAAUACAUUAUAAAAUUGUAGAUGGUCUUUGUUUCCAUAUAUAAUUAGCUCCUUUUUGGUUGUUGUAUCAAUUGUAAUUUGAGACGAUGAGUUUAUGAUUCCUUAA